rnacentral:tRNA from 1 species
AGGGGUAUCUUCCAAGGGUAGGAUGCCGGUCUCCAAAACCGUUAAUGAGGGUUCGAAUCCUUCUACCCCUG